GCUGGAAUCCGGUGUGGAUGAAGGAGCAGGGGAAUUUAUCCUGGGAGAAAUUCCGACCCUCCCACGUUCCUCUGGCCAAUGAAAGGAGUUCCUUAGAACUUCCGCCGAAGUGAUUGACUCCUAGUUUCUUACCUCGUCAGCGAAAUUUAAACGCAAACUUGUUAAAUUUCCCGGAUGGAGAGAGGGGGGAGGGGGCCACAGCACUGGGCUGUUCUUGCCCUUAAAACUACGCGCCCUGUGGACCCGGAAAGAGAACACAUUCCCUCACAGAGAGAUGAACCCCGCUUCCUGCUGCACAGCAGCUGGCCAUUUUGACGAAGACUUCGUCCUGUGAUGCUAAUACCUGGAUCACCUAAGAUCACAAGGUCAGAAGACCUUUGGCCUCCCACCCACCUCGGCCUCCCAAAGUGCUGGGAUUACAGGUGUGAGCCACCAUGCUGGCAUGCUUCUUUCUUUUUUAAUGGCCAAAUAGUACUCCAUUGUGUGUAAGUACCACAUCUUCUUUACCUAUUUAUCUGUUGACAGACUCUGAGGUUGUUUCCAAUGCUUGGCUAUUGUGAACAGUGCUGAAACAAAC
rnacentral:lncRNA from 1 species